UACGUAGGGUGCAAGCGUUGUCCGGAAUUAUUGGGCGUAAAGGGCUCGUAGGCGGUCUGUCGCGUCGGGAGUGAAAACUCAGGGCUUAACCCUGAGCCUGCUUCCGAUACGGGCAGACUAGAGGUAUGCAGGGGAGAACGGAAUUCCUGGUGUAGCGGUGAAAUGCGCAGAUAUCAGGAAGAACACCUAUGGCGAAGGCAGCUCUCUGGGACGGUACUGACGCUGAGACGCGAAAGCGUGGGGAGCGAACAGG
rnacentral:rRNA from 1 species